CACGUAGGGCGCAAGCGUUGUCCGGAAUUAUUGGGCGUAAAGAGCUCGUAGGCGGUCUGUUACGUCUGCUGUGAAAACCCUGGGCUUAACCCUGGGCUUGCAGUGGAUACGGGCAGACUAGAGGCAGGUAGGGGAGAAUGGAAUUCCCGGUGUAGCGGUGAAAUGCGUAGAUAUUGGGAGGAACACCAGUGGCGAAGGCGGCUACCUGGACCGGUUCUGACGCUGAGGCGCGAAAGCGUGGGUAGCAAACAGG
rnacentral:rRNA from 1 species